rnacentral:rRNA from 1 species
AACAAACGCUGGCGGCGUGCCUAAUACAUGCAAGUCGAACGGGGAAAGCUUUCGGGUGAGUACUAGUGGCGCACGGGUGAGGAACGCGUGGAUAAUCUGCCUUAGAGUGGGGGAUAACUAGUCGAAAGAUUAGCUAAUACCGCAUAAGACCACGGGAGCUGCGGCUCAAGGGGUCAAAGGUUUUUCGCUCUAAGAUGAGUCCGCGUAAGAUUAGCUAGUUGGUGAGGUAACGGCUCACCAAGGCGACGAUCUUUAACUGGUCUGAGAGGAUGAUCAGUCACACUGGAACUGAGACACGGUCCAGACUCCUACGGGAGGCAGCAGUAGGGAAUAUUGCACAAUGGAGGAAACUCUGAUGCAGCGACGCCGCGUGAGUGAUGAAGGCCUUCGGGUCGUAAAGCUCUGUCGCAGGGGAAUAACACAAUGAAUGUACCCUGUAAGAAAGGAUCGGCUAACUUCGUGCCAGCAGCCGCAGUAAAAC